rnacentral:rRNA from 1 species
CGGUAAGCUUUAACAUGCAAGUCGAACGGCAGCACGGACUUCGGUCUGGUGGCGAGUGGCGAACGGGUGAGUAAUACAUCGGAACGUGCCCAGUCGUGGGGGAUAACGUAGCGAAAGCUACGCUAAUACCGCAUACGAUCUACGGAUGAAAGCGGGGGAUCGCAAGACCUCGCGCGAUUGGAGCGGCCGAUGGCAGAUUAGGUAGUUGGUAGGGUAAAGGCCUACCAAGCCGACGAUCUGUAGCUGGUCUGAGAGGAUGAUCAGCCACACUGGGACUGAGACACGGCCCAGACUCCUACGGGAGGCAGCAGUGGGGAAUUUUGGACAAUGGACGCAAGCCUGAUCCAGCCAUUCCGCGUGCAGGAUGAAGGCCCUCGGGUUGUAAACUGCUUUUGUACAGAACGAAAAGGCUCUGGUUAAUACCUGGGGCUCAUGACGGUACUGUAAGAAUAAGCACCGGCUAACUACGUGCCAGCAGCCGCGGUAAUACGUAGGGUGCAAGCGUUAAUCGGAAUUACUGGGCGUAAAGCGUGCGCAGGCGGUGAUGUAAGACAGAGGUGAAAUCCCCGGGCUCAACCUGGGAACUGCCUUUGUGACUGCAUCGCUGGAGUACGGCAGAGGGGGAUGGGAAUUUCCGCGUGUAGCAGUGAAAUGCGUAGAUAUGCGGAGGAACACCGAUGGCGAAGGCAAUCCCCCUGGGCCUGUACUGACGCUCAUGCACGAAAGCGGUGGGGGAGCAAACAGGAUUAGAAUACCCUGGUAGUCCACCGCCCUAAACGAUGUCACUGGUUGUUGGUCUCCA